AGCAGGCUGGCUCCAGACACCAAGAAUGGACUGGUGUGUGUGUGUGUUGGGGGGGGGGGGCUUCCCCCUUUAUAAGCACAGUUUCUGAGUAAAAUUUCAGGCCUUGAUCAGCACCUUUACGGGCCGGCAUACAUCAGAUUGGUGCCCUGAACAGCAACAAACGGGAAACAUUGGGAAUGGUGGGAAAACACUGCGGGAACGCUGCUUGGUGUGGAGCUCCAUGGGAAGGAAAGAAUCAGAGGACCGGAUCGUAUCGGGCACGGUGAGCAACAGAUCAAGGCAGAGCGUUCCUCCACUAACUUGGAUGAAUUAUGGAAGUACUGGCAGGACUUGAUGCUGUCACCACAGGAUUUACAGGAUUUCAUCAGGCUCUGCCCAGGAAGUCUCUAUUCCCAGUUUCCAAAUGAGCUGCCUGUGUGGGGCAGUGGGCUGCACACAAACACCCUGGUCUCCAGUUGAGCUGAGGUCUUGAACCCGGGUGGGAUCCGGUGGGUGGUGAUUUCCACCUACAUGGGCGUUUGAUCUUGUCUCCAGGAUCCCUGGCUCCUGUCAAAGUUACCGC
rnacentral:lncRNA from 1 species